rnacentral:rRNA from 1 species
GCGCAGCAGUCGAGAAUUUUUCUCAAUGGGGGAAACCCUGAAGGAGCGACGCCGCGUGGAGGAUGAAGGCUUUCGGGUUGUAAACUCCUGUCAUUUGGGAACAAGUUGGACGCAGUUACUACGCGUCCAUUGAUAGUACCAGAAGAGGAAGAGACGGCUAACUCUGUGCCAGCAGCCGCGGUAAUACAGAGGUCUCAAGCGUUGUUCGGAUUCAUUGGGCGUAAAGGGUGCGUAGGUGGCGUCGUAAGUCAGAUGUGAAAUCUCGGGGCUUAACUCCGAAACUGCAUUUGAUACUGCGGUGCUUGAGGACUGGAGAGGAGACUGGAAUUUACGGUGUAGCAGUGAAAUGCGUAGAGAUCGUAAGGAAGACCUGUGGCGAAGGCGGGUCUCUGGACAGUUCCUGACAC